AUUGAACGCUGGCGGAAUGCUUUACACAUGCAAGUCGAGCGGCAGCGCGGCCUUCGGGCUGGCGGCGAGCGGCGAACGGGUGAGUAAUGCAUCGGAACAUGCCCAGUCGUGGGGGAUAACACUUCGAAAGAAGUGCUAAUACCGCAUACGUCCUGAGGGGGAAAGCGGGGGAUCGCAAGACCUCGCGCGAUUGGAGUGGCCGAUGUCGGAUUAGCUAGUUGGUGGGGUAAAGGCCUACCAAGGCGACGAUCUGUAGCUGGUCUGAGAGGAUGAUCAGCCACACUGGGACUGAGACACGGCCCAGACUCCUACGGGAGGCAGCAGUGGGGAAUUUUGGACAAUGGGGGCAACCCUGAUCCAGCCAUUCCGCGUGAGUGAAGAAGGCCUUCGGGUUGUAAAGCUCUUUCGGCAGGAACGAAACGGUGGGCUCUAACAUAGUCCGCUAAUGACGGUACCUGAAGAAGAAGCACCGGCUAACUACGUG
rnacentral:rRNA from 1 species